ensembl:lncRNA
UUACUAGUAGAAGUAAUAGCAGUAGUAGUAUUACUGGUAGAAGUAAUAGCAGUAGUAGUAUUACUAGUAGAAGUAAUAGCAGUAGUAGUAUUACUGGUAGAAGUAAUAGCAGUAGUAGUAUUACUAGUAGAAGUAAUAGCAGUAGUAGUAUUACUAGUAGAAGUAAUAGCAGUAGUAGUAUUACUAGUAGAAGUAAUAGCAGUAGUAGUAUUACUAGUAGAAGUAAUAGCAGUAGUAGUAUUACUAGUAGAAGUAAUAGCAGUCGUAUUAUUACUAGUAGAAGUAAUAGCCAUAGAAGUAUUACUAGUAGAAGUAAUAGCAGUAGUAGUAUUACUAGUAGAAGUAAUAGCAGUAGUAGUAUUACUAGUAGAAGUAAUAGCAGUAGUAGUAUUACUAGUAGAAGUAAUAGCAAGUAGUAGUAUUACUGGUAGAAGUAAUAGCAGUAGUAUUAUUACUGGUAGAUAUAAUAGCAGUAGUAGUUUUAUUUUUAUUAAUGCUUCAGCUUGAAGACCGUUAGUGUUUCUGAAAUGCGUACCAAAAUUUCCCCUCAGGGAUCAAUAAAGCACAUCCUUCCAUCCUUAUCUUCCUCUCUUUCUCUUCCAUUCUAUCUCUCCGCUUUCUCAUUUUUCCUCUUUCUCACUUCUGCCUCUAUCGUCUUUUCUUUU